rnacentral:rRNA from 1 species
AGCUCCAAUAGCGUAUAUUAAAGUUGUUGCAGUUAAAAAGCUCGUAGUUGGAUUUCGGGAUGGGCCAGUCGGUCUGCCGCAAGGUAUGUUACUGGCUGGUCUGUCCUUCUUCGCAAAGACUGCGUGUGCUCUUAACUGAGUGUGCGUAGGAUUUGCGACGUUUACUUUGAAAAAAUUAGAGUGUUCAAAGCAGGCUAACCGCUUGAAUACAUGAGCAUGGAAUAAUGGAAUAGGACUUUGGUUCUAUUUUGUUGGUUUCUGGAACUGAAGUAAUGAUUAAGAGGGACAGUUGGGGGCAUUCGUAUUUCGUUGUCAGAGGUGAAAUUCUUGGAUUUACGAAAGACGAACAACUGCGAAAGCAUUUGCCAAGAAUGUUU